GGGGAUAUGCUCAGUUUGUACAGUGUUGCCUAGCAUGCAAAAGACCCUGGGUUCAAUCCCCAGCACCACCA
rnacentral:tRNA from 1 species